ensembl:lncRNA
GCUUUACAUUCUUCCACACGGCAGUGACGGCACAUGAACGCAACACAAACAAACCUGGAGGAGAGUGAACGUGACAAUUCUGAUUAGGAGAAGGACUCCCACGACCACCGAAGACAAAGUGCUGUGCUGCAUGUCUCUGUUCGGGAGCCCCAGAGGUCAUCUCCCUCUGUGUCAUCACAACCUCAGCCUCCUCACAGCUCCUGGCCCCAACGCGGCGACCCCACGCAGAGAGGACCACCUGACCCCACCCUCUCCUCUCCCAGCCUCCCAGCUCUCCGCCCGCCACAAAGAGAACGAGGCCAACGGGGAGUCUGGGCUGAGCACUCCUCCAGGUAGCGAGGAGGACGACGUGGAGAGAGAGCUGUGUACUGUGGUCAGACUGAGACCCGUAAGACGAGACAUCAGACACCGCAGGCUCUGUACAGGCGGUGGACCGUCGCUAUGACGAUACACUAUGCUUUCCGGAAACCAGAACAAGAACAGUGUUUUGAAUAAUACUUUAC